rnacentral:rRNA from 1 species
AAACUUAAAGGAAUUGACGGGGGCCGCACAAGCGGUGGAGCAUGUGGUUUAAUUCGACGCAACGCGAAGAACCUUACCAGGGCUUGACAUCCCCUGACCGCGUAUGAAAGUACGUUUUCACCCUCGGGUGACAGGGAGACAGGUGGUGCAUGGUUGUCGUCAGCUCGUGUCGUGAGAUGUUGGGUUAAGUCCCGCAACGAGCGCAACCCCUACGUUUAGUUGCUAACGCGUGAAGGCGAGCACUCUAGACGAACUGCCGUUGACAAAACGGAGGAAGGUGGGGAUGACGUCAAAUCAUCAUGCCCCUUAUGUUCUGGGCUACACACGUGCUACAAUGGCCGGUACAGACGGACGCAAAGCCGCGAGGUGGAGCAAAUCCUAAAAAGCCGGUCUCAGUUCGGAUUGCAGGCUGCAAUUCGCCUGCAUGAAGUCGGAAUCGCUAGUAAUCGCAGGUCAGCAUGCCGCGGUGAAUACGUUCCCGGGCCUU